GUCCUGGGUUUAAAUCCCAACUUUCCCUUUUUUAGUACUUUUUUCUCUUUUUUCCAUUAUUUCUAUUUUUUUAUAAAAAAAUAAAAAUAAAUUACAUUUUUAUUAUUGUUUUUUAAUUAAAUAUUUUUAGAUAAAUAUUAUUUUUUCAUUUUUAUGCACUUUUAUUUAAAAAUAUUAAAAAAAUAUCCAGAAAAAUAUCAUUAAUAUUAUUUGUUCCAUUUUAUGCAUU
rnacentral:lncRNA from 1 species